CAGCUGGGCUUUGCCUGAACUCCCCCUGGAGAAAGAGGCCACUUCAGAAUCUUGAUGUACCUCAUGGUGGAGGCUGCUCCGGAAGAUAUUUAGCAAACCAAAGCAAUGUGCUCCAAACAGAGAUGGGGAAAAUAAGGACAGACAGGUGAAGUGCCUUGAACAAGAUCACAGAACCGAGUCUGUCUCGACCUGGGGUGGUAUUUGCUCUUGACUUCCACACUCUGCGGGCGCGCGGACAUUCGUCAGGUAUCCGUGGGGGUACUCAUGAGCGGUGUUCCUGAGAACGGACUGCAACAAAGCCCCUGCAGGCCAAGGUGACACAUUCUCGGAGCACUCUCCUCAUGGAACCUCACCCGUAACAAGCAAGUUUCAAAGCCAGGGCCAACGAUAAAUGACGGACUUCCCCCACGUUCUUAUAGAAAAUGAUUGGCCUGGACUGUAUCCUGCAUUUCCUUUCCAGACCCUUCUCUGAGGCCUUUACUUUCAUGAUACCAUGAAGGUAUUUUCCAAAGGGAGUUCUGUCUCUGAGGAAUUCUGGCAAACAAGAAAUACAGAUGAGGAAACCAAGGCUCUAAGAAGUCUUAAAAUUUGCCCCCAGUGAAGCAGGUAGUGACAGCUCACAACUCAUUCCCUACAGCUGCACUGUCCAAUACGGAAGCCAUUAGCCUUAUGUUGCUACUUAAAUUUAAACUGGACCUGGGGCGCCUAGGUGGCGCAGUCGGUUAAGCGUCCGACUUCAGCCAGGUCACGAUCUCGCGGUCCGUGAGUUCG